GACCGUGGCACCCAGAGACAGAGCGCGCUCCACUUUCUAUAACUUUACUACUGAACGUGUUUGUCUAUUGCUAGGGAUGCGUCAGUACAUCCGCCAUAUUGAAUGUGUCAGUUUUACUUGCCUUUUAAAUGUUGAAUGCAAAAAAAAAAAAAACAGAGCAUGCUGAUCUCUCUUCCUUCUCUCACGGGAUCCGGAAGCCGAGUGGCCCUGCUUUCCAGACUGGAACGUUAGCCAUCCAAAGCUCUCCUUCUUCAUGCUGAUAUGUGUCUCCUCAUUGGAGCCCCCAUGCUGGGACGUCCGCUCGGUCUGCCCGCCUGCAAAUUCGCCUGACCUGGGGAACAGGGGGGCCCUGCACAAUGUUCCCCCCAGUCUACCCUGGUCGUGGUGGUCUCUGUGGUGGCAUCCUCUGUGGCUACGGGCUGUAGCACCUAUCAGCGUGGAUGGCUCCUGCAGGUUGUUUUUCAACACCUGGAUCCUCAGUGCUUUGUCAUGUCUCUACACUAUAAGUCAAUAUGUGCUGUGUGUGUGUACGUGCGGGUGUGCGUGUGUUCGUAUGGAUGCGUUCGCGUUUGUAUGUGGGGAUGGGCGAUGUCGGUUUUUGUAUGUCUUGCUAUUUUAAUUGUCUGCUUUUAUCGUUGUAAAGCACUUUGUGUUGAAUUUCUAAUGUAUGAAAAGUGCAAUAUAAAUAAAACCGUUUUUAUG